GUGAAAACACUAGAAAGGAGAAAGAGAACACUGAAGAAAUGUGCACAGAGAAAAAGAGAAGAUGUGUGAUCAUGGGAGAUAAGUAAAGGAGAGCAGUAGUAAAGCAGUGUAAGAAUCAGAAGAAAUGGGAAACAGCAUUAGAAGAGAGGACACACAGGGAUAGAAAGUUGGCGAGAACAAUAGAGGGAAGAAGAGUGAACAUAGAGAUAAACAUAGAGAAACAUAGGGAGCGAGUGCAAAAUACCUCCAUACUGAGAGUAAAAACUGAGCAAACUCAUACCCUAAUACACCAAGGGGCGCCCUGCAAACAUUUAAAUAUGAUUGCAAACCACUGAUUCAUGGAGACGGUUGGGGUGUGGGAUGGAUAAGGGUCUG